rnacentral:rRNA from 1 species
GACGAACGCUGGCGGCGUGCCUAAUACAUGCAAGUCGAACGCAGUUGCGAACGGGUGAGUAACGCGUAGGUAACUGCCUCAUAGCGGGGGAUAACUAUUGGAAACGGUAGCUAAUACCGCAUACUGUAAGAUUGACCUGCGUUGUAUUAGCUAGUUGGUGAGGUAAAGGCUCACCAAGGCGACGAAACAUAGGCGACCUGGGAGGGGGAUCGGCCACACUGGGACUGAGACACGGCCCAGACUCCUACGGGAGGCAGCAGUAGGGAAUCUUCGGCAAUGGACGGAAGUCUGACCGAGCAACGCCGCGUGAGUGAAGAAGGUUUUCGGAUUGUAAAGCUCUGUUGUUAGAGAAGCGGUACCUAACCAGAAAGGGACGGCUAACUACGUGCCAGCCGCCGCGGUAAUUC